rnacentral:lncRNA from 10 species
GUAAUAAUGCCCGUUGGUUAUUAUAGGUGGUGGAGACUAGCGGUUUCCAAGCUUUUUGUUUUUGUUUUUAAAAAAACUCUCAACUGUCUGCCUCAGCGUUGUCAGAACUCUGUGAGAUGAGGGAAAUAUUCUACAUCUGCGUUAUUAAGGCAGCCACUGGCCACAUGUGUGGUGUUGAGCCGGCUGAGGAACUGAAUUUUUAAUUUAAUUUAGGGCCGGCGCGGUGGCUCACGCCUGUAAUCCCAGCACUUUGGGAGGCCGAGGCAGGCAGAUCGCUUGAAGCCAGGAGUUGGAGACCAGCCUCGCCAACAUGGCGAAACCCCGUAUCUACUAAAAAUACAAAAAUUAGCCGCUGGGCGUGGUGGCGCAAGCCUGUAGUCCUAGGUUGAGCGGGGAGGAUGGCUUGAGCCAGGAGGUCGAGGCUGCAGUGAGCCGAGAUCGCGCCACUGUACCCCAGCCUGCACGACAAAGUGAGACUCCAUCUCAAAAGUAAAAAGUAUUUAACUUAAAUCAAAAACUAGCAAUCAAAGGGAAACGUCUGGAAAACCAGA